rnacentral:rRNA from 1 species
AGCGAACGCUGGCGGCAGGCUUAACACAUGCAAGUCGAGCGGGCACUUUCGGGUGUCAGCGGCGGACGGGUGCUUAACGCGUGGGAACGUGCCCUCUGGUUCGGAAUAACUCAGGGAAACUUGAGCUAAUACCGGAUACGCCCUUUUGGGGAAAGGCUUGCUGCCGGAGGAUCGGCCCGCGUCUGAUUAGCUAGUUGGUGAGGUAACGGCUCACCAAGGCGACGAUCAGUAGCUGGUCUGAGAGGAUGAUCAGCCACAAUGGGAAUGAGACACGGCCCAGACUCCUACGGGAGGCAGCAGUGGGGAAUAUUGGACAAUGGGCGCAAGCCUGAUCCAGCCAUGCCGCGUGAGUGAUGAAGGCCUUAGGGUUGUAAAGCUCUUUUAUCCGGGACGAUAAUGACGGUACCGGAGGAAUAAGCCCCGGCUAACUUCGUG